GUGCUCACUUUGGCUGCACAUAUACUAAAAUUGGAAUGAUACAGAAAAGAUUAGUAUGGCCCCUGCACAAGGAUGAUAUACAAAUUCGUGAAAUGUUGCACAUUUUU
ensembl:snRNA U6 U6 spliceosomal RNA